rnacentral:rRNA from 1 species
AUUGAACGCUGGCGGCAGGCCUAACACAUGCAAGUCGAGCGAGCGGCGGACGGGUGAGUAAUGUCUGGGACACUGCCUGAUGGAGGGGGAUAACUACUGGAAACGGUGGCUAAUACCGCAUACCAUCAGAUGUACCCAGAUUGUAUUAGCUAGUAGGUGGGGUAAAGGCUCACCUAGGCGACGAUCCCUAGCUGGUCUGAGAGGAUGACCAGCCACACUGGAACUGAGACACGGUCCAGACUCCUACGGGAGGCAGCAGUGGGGAAUAUUGCACAAUGGGCGCAAGCCUGAUGCAGCCAUGCCGCGUGUGUGAAGAAGGCCUUAGGGUUGUAAAGCACUUUCAGCGGGGAGGCGUUACCCGCAGAAGAAGCACCGGCUAACUCCGUGCCAGCAGCCGCGGUAAUAC